UUGACACAGGGGCACACGCCCAUGUGGGAGGGGCAACAUGCCCGUGUGACCAAUUUGACAUGGUCGUGUUGUUGGCUCAUGUGGCUCACACGGCCUAAGCAUACAGGACACACCCGUGUCCUUUACCCAUGUGGAAUUAAUUCCAAAUUCAUACCUAAUGGGGUUUUCACAUGGCCUGGCACACGACUGUGUCCCUGGCUCGUGUCCUUCACACGGCCAUGACACACCCGUAUCCUAGCCCGUGUGCAAAAAACUAGACAUUAUGCUUCUGACGUCAGC
rnacentral:lncRNA from 1 species